GACGAACGCUGGCGGCGUGCUUAACACGUGCAAGUCGAACGGAAAGGCCCUGCUUUUGUGGGGUGCUCGAGUGGCGAACGGGUGGGUAACACGUGGGUAACCUGCCCUUGACUUUGGGAUAACUUCAGGAAACUGGGGCUAAUACCGGAUAGGAGCUCCUGCUGCAUGGUGGGGGUUGGAAAGUUUCGGCGGUUGGGGAUGGACUCGCGGCUUAUCAGCUUGUUGGUGGGGUAGUGGCUUACCAAGGCUUUGACGGGUAGCCGGCCUGAGAGGGUGACCGGCCACAUUGGGACUGAGAUACGGCCCAGACUCCUACGGGAGGCAGCAGUGGGGAAUAUUGCACAAUGGGCGGAAGCCUGAUGCAGCAACGCCGCGUGCGGGAUGACGGCCUUCGGGUUGUAAACCGCUUUCGCCUGUGACGAAGCGUGAGUGACGGUAAUGGGUAAAGAAGCACCGGCUAACUACGUG
rnacentral:rRNA from 1 species